rnacentral:rRNA from 1 species
GAUGAACGCUGGCGGCGUGCCUAACACAUGCAAGUCGAGCGAACAGACGAUGAGCUUGCUCCUCUGACGUUAGCGGCGGACGGGUGAGUAACACGUGGAUAACCUACUUAUAAGACUGGGAUAAUCUCGGGAAACCGGAGCUAAUACCGGAUAAUAUAUUGAACCGCAUGGUUCAAUAGUGAAUGACGGCUUUGGUGUCACUAAUAGAUGGAUCCGGGCUGCAUUAGCUAGUUGGUAAGGUAACGGCCUACCAAGGCUACGAUGCGUAGCCGACCGGAGAGGGGGAUAGGCCACACUGGAACUGGAACACGGUCCAUGCUCCUGCGGGAGGGCGCAGUAGGGAAUCUUCGGCAAUGGGCGGAAGCCUGACAGAACGAGCCCGCGUGGGUGAAGGAGGUCUUCGGUUCGUAAAGCUCUUUUAUUGGGGAAGAACAGAUGUGUAAUUAAAUAUACACGUCUUGACGGUACCUAAUCAAGAAGCCACGGCUAACUACGUG